GAUAGUCGAGUCAGCUCAAUUGCACAGUCGAGCUGGCUCGGGCCAUAGUUUUAGAAAUAAAAUAAAAUUCAAAAGAGUUCGAAAUUUGUCCAAAAAAAUUUUAGAAAUCUUAGAUCAAAUCAAUCAAUAUAUGAAUAAAAAGUUAAUCAUAAAUUCCUAAUUUAUCUCUAAUCAUAUUAAAUCUAUCUUCAUUCAAAGGUUUUGUGAAGAUAUUAGCU
rnacentral:lncRNA from 1 species